UUAAGUUCAGCGGGUAUCCCUACCUGAUUCGAGGAGUUCACGUGUCUUGCUCUCUCCCCCGCCCGACAGACGGGCCAGGGCUGCAGCCUCGCCUCGCACCAGCGCCAAUGCGUCAUAUCACGCUCGGCCACGCGGCAGGCGUCCGCCCAUGGAUUCCAGCGCGGUGGCCGCCUCCUCGGGCACGCCACCGCAGCCAUGAC
rnacentral:misc_RNA from 1 species